AGAGUUUGAUCAUGGCUCAGAUUGAACGCUGGCGGCAGGCCUAACACAUGCAAGUCGAGCGGUAGCACAGGAGAGCUUGCUCUCCGGGUGACGAGCGGCGGACGGGUGAGUAAUGUCUGGGAAACUGCCUGAUGGAGGGGGAUAACUACUGGAAACGGUAGCUAAUACCGCAUAACGUCUUCGGACCAAAGUGGGGGACCUUCGGGCCUCACGCCAUCAGAUGUGCCCAGAUGGGAUUAGCUAGUAGGUGGGGUAAUGGCUCACCUAGGCGACGAUCCCUAGCUGGUCUGAGAGGAUGACCAGCCACACUGGAACUGAGACACGGUCCAGACUCCUACGGGAGGCAGCAGUGGGGAAUAUUGCACAAUGGGCGCAAGCCUGAUGCAGCCAUGCCGCGUGUGUGAAGAAGGCCUUCGGGUUGUAAAGCACUUUCAGCGAGGAGGAAGGGUUCAGUGUUAAUAGCACUGUNCAUUGACGUUACUCGCAGAAGAAGCACCGGCUAACUCCGUGCCAGCAGCCGCGGUAAUACGGAGGGUGCAAGCGUUAAUCGGAAUUACUGGGCGUAAAGCGCACGCAGGCGGUUUGUUAAGUCAGAUGUGAAAUCCCCGCGCUUAACGUGGGAACUGCAUUUGAAACUGGCAAGCUAGAGUCUUGUAGAGGGGGGUAGAAUUCCAGGUGUAGCGGUGAAAUGCGUAGAGAUCUGGAGGAAUACCGGUGGCGAAGGCGGCCCCCUGGACAAAGACUGACGCUCAGGUGCGAAAGCGUGGGGAGCAAACAGGAUUAGAUACCCUGGUAGUCCACGCUGUAAACGAUGUCGACUUGGAGGUUGUGCCCUUGAGGCGUGGCUUCCGGAGCUAACGCGUUAAGUCGACCGCCUGGGGAGUACGGCCGCAAGGUUAAAACUCAAAUGAAUUGACGGGGGCCCGCACAAGCGGUGGAGCAUGUGGUUUAAUUCGAUGCAACGCGAAGAACCUUACCUACUCUUGACAUCCAGAGAAUUCGCUAGAGAUAGCUUAGUGCCUUCGGGAACUCUGAGACAGGUGCUGCAUGGCUGUCGUCAGCUCGUGUUGUGAAAUGUUGGGUUAAGUCCCGCAACGAGCGCAACCCUUAUCCUUUGUUGCCAGCACGUAAUGGUGGGAACUCAAAGGAGACUGCCGGUGAUAAACCGGAGGAAGGUGGGGAUGACGUCAAGUCAUCAUGGCCCUUACGAGUAGGGCUACACACGUGCUACAAUGGCGUAUACAAAGAGAAGCGAACUCGCGAGAGCCAGCGGACCUCAUAAAGUACGUCGUAGUCCGGAUCGGAGUCUGCAACUCGACUCCGUGAAGUCGGAAUCGCUAGUAAUCGUAGAUCAGAAUGCUACGGUGAAUACGUUCCCGGGCCUUGUACACACCGCCCGUCACACCAUGGGAGUGGGUUGCAAAAGAAGUAGGUAGCUUAACCUUCGGGAGGGCGCUUACCACUUUGUGAUUCAUGACUGGGGUGAAGUCGUAACAAGGUAACCGUAGGGGAACCUGCGGUUGGAUCACCU
rnacentral:rRNA from 1 species